rnacentral:rRNA from 1 species
UGGGGAAUAUUGCACAAUGGGCGAAAGCCUGAUGCAGCAACGCCGCGUGAGUGAAGAAGGUUUUCGGAUCGUAAAACUCUGUCUUUUGGGGCGAACGUGAGUAUGGUGAACAAUCAUAGUCAGUGACGGUACCAAAGGAGGAAGCCACGGCUAACUACGUGCCAGCAGCCGCGGUAAUACGUAGGUGGCAAGCGUUGUCCGGAAUUAUUGGGCGUAAAGAGCGCGUAGGCGGGAUAGUCAGUCUGUUGUAAAGUGCGGGGCUCAACCCCGUGAUCGCAAUGGAAACAGCUAUUCUUGAGUGCAGGAGAGGAAAGUGGGAUUCCCAGUGUAGCGGUGAAAUGCGUAGAUAUUGGGAGGAACACCAGUGGCGAAGGCGACUUUCUGGACUGUGUCUGACGCUGAGGCGCGAAAGCCAGGGGAGGCGAACCGGGAUUAGAUACCCCGGUAGUCCUGGCCGUAAACGAUGGGUACUAGGUGUGGGAGGUAUCGACCCCUUCCGUGCCGGAGUUAACGCAAUAAGUACCCCGCCUGGGGAGUACGGUCGCAAGACUGAAACUCAAAUGAAUUGACGGGGUC